rnacentral:rRNA from 1 species
CCUACGGGUGGCAGCAGUGGGGAAUAUUGGACAAUGGGGGGAACCCUGAUCCAGCCAUGCCGCGUGUGUGAAGAAGGCCCUCGGGUUGUAAAGCACUUUCAGUGAGGAAGAACGCCUGGUGGUUAAUACCCAUCAGGAAAGACAUCACUCACAGAAGAAGCACCGGCUAACUCCGUGCCAGCAGCCGCGGUAAUACGGAGGGUGCGAGCGUUAAUCGGAAUUACUGGGCGUAAAGCGCGCGUAGGUGGCUUGAUAAGCCGGUUGUGAAAGCCCCGGGCUCAACCUGGGAACGGCAUCCGGAACUGUCAAGCUAGAGUGCAGGAGAGGAAGGUAGAAUUCCCGGUGUAGCGGUGAAAUGCGUAGAGAUCGGGAGGAAUACCAGUGGCGAAGGCGGCCUUCCGGACUGACACUGACACUGAGGUGCGAAAGCGUGGGUAGCAAACAGGAUUAGAUACCCUUGUAGUC